UGUCUCCUCAAUUGUAAGUUGCUUUGGACAAAAGCGUCUGCUAAAUGACUCAGU
rfam:Danio rerio chromosome 10, GRCz11 reference primary assembly.